rnacentral:rRNA from 1 species
GACAGAGGGGGCAAGCGUUGCUCGGAAUUACUGGGCGUAAAAGGCGCGUAGGCGGAAUGGCAAGUCGGUCGUGAAAUCCUUCGGCUCAACCGAAGAACGUCGAUCGAAACUGCCGUUCUUGAGGAUUGCAGAGGAGACUGGAAUUCCCGGUGUAGCGGUGAAAUGUGUAGAGAUCGGGAGGAACACCGGUGGCGAAGGCGGGUCUCUGGGCAAUUCCUGACGCUGAGGCGCGAAAGCGUGGGGAGCAAACGGG